GAUAAACGCUGGCGGCGUGCCUAACACAUGCAAGUCGAACGCCCUGGAGCAAUUCAGGGAGUGGCGGACGGGUGAGGAACACGUGGGUGAUCUACCUUGAGGUGAGGAAUACCGGCGAGAAAUCGCCGACAAUACCGCAUAGGUUCGUAAGAACAAAGUCGCAAGACGCCUUGAGAUGAGCCUGCGUCCGAUUAGCCAGUUGGUGGGGUAAUGGCCUACCAAAGCAGCGANCGGUAGCUGGUCUGAGAGGACGAUCAGCCACACUGGGAUUGAGAACGGCCCAGACUCCUACGGGAGGCAGCAGUGGGGAAUCUUGCGCAAUGCGCGAAAGCGUGACGCAGCAACGCCGCGU
rnacentral:rRNA from 1 species